rnacentral:rRNA from 1 species
GACGAACGCUGGCGGCGUGCUCAACACAUGCAAGUCGAACGGUAAGGCCCCAGCUUGCUGGGGUACACGAGUGGCGAACGGGUGAGUAACACGUGGGUGACCUGCCCCGCACUUCGGGAUAAGCCUGGGAAACUGGGUCUAAUACCGGAUAGGACCGCACCGUGAGGGUGUGGUGGAAAGUUUUUCGGUGUGGGAUGGGCCCGCGGCCUAUCAGCUUGUUGGUGGGGUAAUGGCCUACCAAGGCGGCGACGGGUAGCCGGCCUGAGAGGGUGGACGGCCACAUUGGGACUGAGACACGGCCCAGACUCCUACGGGAGGCAGCAGUGGGGAAUAUUGCACAAUGGGCGGAAGCCUGAUGCAGCGACGCCGCGUGGGGGAUGACGGCCUUCGGGUUGUAAACUCCUUUCACCAUCGACGAAGGUUUUCUGACGGUAGAUGGAGAAGAAGCACCGGCUAACUACGUG